UACGUAGGGUGCAAGCGUUGUCCGGAAUUAUUGGGCGUAAGAGCUCGUAGGCGGUUUGUCGCGUCUGCUGUGAAAACCUAAGGCUCAACCUUGGGCUUGCAGUGGGUACGGGCAGACUAGAGUGCGGUAGGGGUGACUGGAAUUCCUGGUGUAGCGGUGGAAUGCGCAGAUAUCAGGAGGAACACCGAUGGCGAAGGCAGGUCACUGGGCCGCAACUGACGCUGAGGAGCGGAAAGGCAUGGGGAGCGAACAGG
rnacentral:rRNA from 1 species